rnacentral:rRNA from 1 species
GACGAACGCUGGCGGCGUGCCUAAUACAUGCAAGUCGAACGCACUCUCGUUUAGAUUGAAGGAGCUUGCUCCUGAUUGAUAAACAUUUGAGUGAGUGGCGGACGGGUGAGUAACACGUGGGUAACCUGCCCUAAAGUGGGGGAUAACAUUUGGAAACAGAUGCUAAUACCGCAUAAAACCUAACACCGCAUGGUGUAGGGUUGAAAGAUGGUUUCGGCUAUCACUUUAGGAUGGACCCGCGGUGCAUUAGUUAGUUGGUGAGGUAAAGGCUCACCAAGACCGUGAUGCAUAGCCGACCUGAGAGGGUAAUCGGCCACACUGGGACUGAGACACGGCCCAGACUCCUACGGGAGGCAGCAGUAGGGAAUCUUCCACAAUGGACGAAAGUCUGAUGGAGCAACGCCGCGUGAGUGAAGAAGUUUUCGGAUCGUAAAACUCUGUUGUUGGAGAAGAAUGUAUCUGAUAGUAACUGAUCAGGUAGUGACGGUAUCCAACCAGAAAG